rnacentral:misc_RNA from 1 species
AACUUUCAGCAACGGAUCACUUGGCUCUCGCAUCGAUGAAGAACGCAGCGAAAUGCGAUAAGUAAUGCGAAUUGCAGAAUUCAGUGAAUCAUCGAAUCUUUGAACGCACCUUGCGCCCUUGGGCUAUUCUGAAGGGCAUGCCUGUGUGAGCAUCAUAAACAUCUCAACUCGCACGGUGUCCUGUGAUGAGAUUGGACUUUGGUGGUCUUGUUGGCUUGUGUGCAUCUGCCCUCAAAUCUAUCAGCUUCGCAUUGUUUGGCAGCAUCACAGGUGUGAUGAAUAUCUACGCUUGUGGUUCUUUGCCAGGUCUGUCCUCUCCUUGCAGAGGGCUCGCUGGAGCUCAUAGAUGUCUCUCCUUGGUGGAGACAGAUGUUUGAAGUUUGGUCUCUAAUCAGGUAGGAUUACACGAUGAACUUAGGCAUAUCAAUAAGCGGAGGCU